GACCAAUCAUAUAUAGAGUUCCAAACAUCUCUGUCAAUAACAGCUAGUUUUCAGUUUUCCCUUCCACACUCAGACCACUCCCAAACGGUCAUAGCAAAAUGAUUGCUUGACAAAUUGCUCUUUGACCAUUUGGAUUGAAAACAACCACAGUAAGGUACUUAAUUUUAACCCACAAAUGAUUGAAUUGUGAGAUAAAAACAGCUGCAUUGGACUGUAAAAAAAAAUGGAAUAAAAAAAACUUGACAUAGAUCGAGCUCAGGCGUCAUUCCUGUUCCGAAGGUAGAUCCAGCUCAGGCGUCAUUCCUGUUCCGAAGGUAGAUCCAGCUCAGGCGUCAUUCCUGUUCCGAAGGUAGAUCCAGCUCAGGCGUCAUUCCUGUUCCGAAGGUAGAUCCAGCUCAGGCGUCAUUCCUGUUCCGAAGGUAGAUCCAGCUCAGGCGUCAUUCCUGUUCCGAAGGUAGAUCCAGCUCAGGCGUCAUUCCUGUUCCGAAGGUAGAUCCAGCUCAGGCGUCAUUCCUGUUCCGAAGGUAGAUCCAGCUCAGGCGUCAUUCCUGUUCCGAAGGUAGAUCCAGCUCAGGCGUCAUUCCUGUUCCGAAGGUAGAUCCAGCUCAGGCGUCAUUCCUGUUCCGAAGGUAGAUCCAGCUCAGGCGUCAUUCCUGUUCCGAAGGUAGAUCCAGCUCAGGCGUCAUUCCUGUUCCGAAGGUAGAUGUUGAUCGUGCACCUGCCGCUUAUUCGAGCCUACUCUUGCCAGGCUUGUACAGUACCUGCGCUUUCAUGUCGCCCAUGGCUAGUCGAACGGCGAACGCUUCGUUGAGACGAUGCUGAAACAUCAAUCCAUGGGCGAGUCAGUCCCACAUUCAAAGUUUAAAAAAUCUAAUCAAAAUGAAGGAAAUCAAAUCAAAAUUGAGGAAAAGUUCACCU